CUCUUCUGUGAUUCCUCAUGUAGGAAUUAAGAUGGGAGAGUGGAAAAAAAGGAGAAGCUGAGAUGGAGGAAUGGAAACCAAACAAUGUCCUCCUGGGGAAAGAGAUAAAGCCUGUCAGAUCAAAAACUUGGCAGUCCAGAAGAAGUAGUGUCCCAUUACCAGCAUCACAUCCGCUACACUGUCUGAUCCCUGCCUCAGCUUCAACCAGAUGA
rnacentral:lncRNA from 1 species